rnacentral:lncRNA from 1 species
AUCAAAUAAGAGUAGACCCCAAGGAUUGCCACAAAACUGCAUUUAGAACUUUUGAUGGGCACUAUGAGUUUCUCGUUAUGCCUUUUGGCCUUUCUAAUGCACCCUCUACCUUCCAAGCAGCCAUGAAUGACCUCCUAAGACCACAUUUACGCCAUUUUGUCCUAGUGUUUUUUGAUGACAUCCUCAUUUAUAGCCAGUCUAUGCUAGAACACAUCCAGCACCUGACUCUAGUUCUAGAGUUAUUGGAAAACAACAAAUUCUUUGUUAAAGAGUCUAAAUGUGUUUUUGCCACUACCCAAGUUUCUUAUAUGGGCCAUCUCAUUCAAGAAGGCACCGUCACCCCUAACACAGACAAAAUACAGGCCAUCCUCCUUUGGCCCAAACCCACAUUCCUCACCACUCUCCGCGCUUUUUUGGGAAUUACAGGAUUUUAUAGAAAAUUCAUUUGCGGUUAUGCCACUCUUGCCUCUCCACUCACGGAUUUACUAAAAUUGACAAAGUUUAGAUGGACUACAGCGGCUCAAGAGGCCUUUGUACAAUUGAAAAAAAAAUUAACUACGACACCAGUACUGCAUCUUCCAAAUUUUUCUCUACCCUUUGUCGUUGAAAAAGAUGCGUCGAAUGUUGCCAUUGGUGCAGUCCUAUCUCAAGAAGGUCACCCUCUUGUAUUUUUCAGCAAAAAACUCUGUAAAAAAAAUGCAAAACAACUCAGUGUAUGUUCGAGAAAUGCUAGCCAUUACAGAGGCAGUGAAAAAAUGGCGUCACUAUCUUAUUGAAACACAUUUCAAAAUCAUAACAGAUCAGCAAAGUCUGGAGGCAUUACUUACCAAUGCUUGCCACACGCCUAAGCAACAAAAAUGGGCCACCAAGCCUUAGGGUACAACUUCGAAAUCAUAUACCGUCCAAGACGACAUAACCAAGCCACUGAUUUUUUAUCCAGACCACCAUCAUCCCUCUUUUUAGCCGAGUCUUCACUGAUUCCUAACAUCCUCACAGAAUUAUACAAUUACUGUGCAUCAGAAGAAGGGACAAAAUAAGUGCAAAAUUUACUGUCAUCACCUACCUCGGCAUACAAUCUUCAACGACGUCUCCUUUACCAUCGUUAACGCCUUUAUUUUCCUGUUAAGGGUGCCCUUCGUUCUACAAUGUUGCACGAAUUUCACACCACUCCAUCUGCAGGUCACUCGGGUCUCAAAGCGACCAUGGCACGACUAGCCACCUCCUUCUACUGGCCC